CUUAUUCCUUCUUUUGCGUGGACCGCCCUUUUGGGUUUUCAAUCCACCGGGAUACCCUUUUUUGCCUGAGCCGCCCUUUCGGGUUUUCGACUCACCGGGUGUACAUUUUUUUUUUUUUUUUAUAUCCCUAAUUUUUGCCCGAACCUAUUUAUUUAUUUUUUUUUGGUUCGUCGGGAUGCCCCUUUUUUUGCCUGGACUCUUUUUCUUUUGUCCAGUGGGUCAAUUAUGCGAAGUAUUUUUUAACUGC
rnacentral:lncRNA from 1 species